ACCGGGCAAGGUGGCAUGUGCCUGUAGUCCCAGCUACUUGGGAGGCUGAGGUGGGAGGAUUGCUUGAGCCCAGGAGUUCCAGGCUGUAGUGUGCUAUGUCAAUCAGGUGUCCUCACUAAGUUCGGCAUCAAUAUAGUGACCUCCCGGGAGUGGGGGACCACGAGGUUGCCUAAGGAGGGGUGAACCGGCCCAGGUCAGAAACGGAGCAGGUCAAAACUCCUGUGCUGAUCAGUAGUGGGAUCGUGCCUGUGAAUAGCCACUGCACUCCAGCCUGGGCAACAUAGCGAGACCUCAUCUCU
rnacentral:SRP_RNA from 1 species